rnacentral:rRNA from 1 species
AUUGAACGCUGGCGGCAUGCCUUACACAUGCAAGUCGAACGGUAACAGGUCUUCGGAUGCUGACGAGUGGCGAACGGGUGAGUAAUACAUCGGAACGUGCCCGAGAGUGGGGGAUAACGAGGCGAAAGCUUUGCUAAUACCGCAUACGAUCUCAGGAUGAAAGCAGGGGACCGCAAGGCCUUGCGCUCACGGAGCGGCCGAUGGCAGAUUAGGUAGUUGGUGGGAUAAAAGCUUACCAAGACGACGAUCUGUAGCUGGUCUGAGAGGACGACCAGCCACACUGGGACUGAGACACGGCCCAGACUCCUACGGGAGGCAGCAGUGGGGAAUUUUGGACAAUGGGCGCAAGCCUGAUCCAGCCAUGCCGCGUGCAGGAUGAAGGCCUUCGGGUUGUAAACUGCUUUUGUACGGAACGAAAAGACUCCUUCUAAUAAAGGGGGUUCAUGACGGUACCGUAAGAAUAAGCACCGGCUAACUACGUGCCAGCCGCCGCCGUAACAC